CUCUCUAAAGCUCAUGAAUUAGAAUGCCAGAGGACACGUGAACGUGGGCAAACACUUUUUAAUUAUCCUGAUCAAGUGCGGGGUACAUCUUUUUGCUGACCCCACUUGUAAUCAACUGUGAUCUCCUAGAAGCAGGUGAAUUGAUUGCUUCUAUCCUUCCCAACUAGCCAGAAGAGUGGGUCAUACAUUAUCCUGCCCCUUUGAAAAAUCCAGCUCCGUGAUUGAUUUCAUGACUGUCUGUAGCAGCAAAUUCCUCAGAAUGAAUUCUACCAGGCAAAGAAGCUUGCUGGUGUAGAGAGAUCUCUCUAAAUGCUCCUCAUACAACUCAGAGAGACCAUAGAAGACACUGUUUCAGGACCGAUGGGCUGAACGGUUUUAAAACCUGGCUGUGGCCAUUCAUUUGGACGACUCCAGCAGACCCACCUGUCCUACAGUUCAACUUCUCAAACCUACCCUGUUUGUAAUUCCUCAGCAGGAUUCUGAGCUCUGCUGGGCAUAUUUCAGUUUUACAGUUAAUCAGAAAGAUUUUGUCCCAAAUUUGCCCUAAGUGUGGGCCUUUAUUAAUGCGAUACGCCUCACAUUAGUGAGUGCCUGCUUUUGAGCCAUAUGCCCUGAAUAAGUUAUCAGGUUUCAUUGUUUACCCUUGGUUAAAAAAAAAAAAUUCCAUACACUCUGACCUCAUGACACCUAAACCCUGCCCGUGCAGUUGAAACAGGAAAACUAGUCAUCUGAUAUCAUGAAGGCAAGUCAGCUGGUAGAUGUGCUCAAAUGUUUCCGUUUCCACCAGUGUGUGGGCAUUGUGGGGAGCCAUAGAUUAUUAAUCAGGAAUGUGCAGGAUUUCUUGUUUGUGUGUUUGUUAAUUUCCAAAAUAAACCCAAUACAAAGAGA